rnacentral:tRNA from 1 species
ACUUGAAUAGCUUAUAAAAUAGAGCAUGACAUUGAAGAUGUUAGGGAAAUUUAAUUUAAUUUUUAGGUA